AUUGAACGCUGGCGGCAUGCCUUACACAUGCAAGUCGAACGGCAGCACGGGAGCAAUCCUGGUGGCGAGUGGCGAACGGGUGAGUAAUAUAUCGGAACGUGCCCAGUCGUGGGGAUAACGUAGCGAAAGCUACGCUAAUACCGCAUACGAUCUAUGGAUGAAAGCGGGGGAUCGCAAGACCUCGCGCGAUUGGAGCGGCCGAUAUCAGAUUAGGUAGUUGGUGAGGUAAAGGCUCACCAAGCCGACGAUCUGUAGCUGGUCUGAGAGGACGACCAGCCACACUGGGACUGAGACACGGCCCAGACUCCUACGGGAGGCAGCAGUGGGGGAAUUUUGGACAAUGGGCGCAAGCCUGAUCCAGCAAUGCCGCGUGCA
rnacentral:rRNA from 1 species